CACUGCACUAAUCAGCCUUGGUCUUCACUGCACUAAUCAGCCUUGGUCUUCACUGCACUAAUCAGCCUUGGUCUUCACUGCACUAAUCAGCCUUGGAAUGUGGGUAACACUCCUACAAUGCACUAGCCUCCACCACCACUUCUCAGAUGAAGUGGGCAGGCAAGGGGUAUGGUGGUGCAAUUCGCUAUGAAUCAAUACAUCCCACCAUGCCCCUAGUGAUGCAAAGAUGUCAAAAUAGAGAAUAGGCAAACUGUAAAAUGCCCACUUUACAUAAAAUGUGAAAGCACUGAUGCUGAAGACUAAAUACUAUCCAGCUACUGUACAACAAUCCUAUGUGAAUCAAUACAACAUGGUGCUAUAACACAGAGAACAAGUUCAAAAAAAGCCACACAGAAUAAGAACAUCGUCCUGUGCACAACAUGAAAGAUAAAAAACAUUGACUUGCACGGUUUUCUGCUCAUAAGCUGCCUUUUUAUUACAGCUUUAGACAUUCUCUCAAGAGGCUGCAACAUCAAACAUGAAACAAGGAGAAAAUAAGAGUCAACAUCAUGAUUUUUCCAUUAAAACCAGUCCUGCAUGGUGUUUCUCCUGAAUCCACAAUGGUUUUCUGUGUUCCAAGCAGAGAGAUGCAGAAAUACGUUCUGCUGUGUGGUUUUGUUAUAAAUCACAAAUGAAAUAUCCUUUACAAAAGAAGUUUAUUCAAUUUGAAACUAACAAAAUACAUAUUUAGGGAAUAUGUUCUUCCAGAUAGAAUAAAAGUUAUGUAGUCUGAAGCUGAAA